AGGACGAACGCUGGCGGCGUGCUUAGCACAUGCAAGUCGAACGGAAAGGCCCCUUCGGGGGUACUCGAGUGGCGAACGGGUGAGUAACACGUGGGCAACCUGCCCUCAGCUUCGGGAUAACACUUGGAAACAGGUGCUAAUACCGGAUAAUAACUUGUCAUCGCAUGGUGGUGGGUUCAAAGUUUUUCGGCUGAGGAUGGGCCCGCGGCCUAUCAGCUUGUUGGUGGGGUAAUGGCCUACCAAGGCGACGACGGGUA
rnacentral:rRNA from 1 species